AAUCAACGCUGGCGGCGUGCUUAACACAUGCAAGUCGAGCGGUAAGGCCCUUUCGGGGGUACACGAGCGGCGAACGGGUGAGUAACACGUGGGUGACCUGCCCUCAGCUCUGGGAUAAGCCUGGGAAACUGGGUCUAAUACUGGAUAUGACUCCACGGUGCAUGUCGUGGGGUGGAAAGCCUUGUGCGGCUGAGGAUGGGCCCGCGGCCUAUC
rnacentral:rRNA from 1 species